UGUAUGGCCGUACCACCCUGAAAGCACCUGAUUUUAUCUCAUCUCAGCAGCUAAGCAGGGUCAGGCCUUGUUAGUACUUGGAUGGGAGAAAACAUAGGAAUAUGUUGUUAAUUGAUAUGU
rnacentral:rRNA from 1 species